UUAUUGCUGACGCCGCUUCGC
rnacentral:misc_RNA from 1 species